CUCUGUUUCCUGGUAGUUAAGUUCUGAGCCACUUUCCUCCUCCACACUCUUCUACCAUGAUAUUCUGCCUCACCUCAGGCCCAGAGUCCUGGAGAAAUCUGGACACAGACAUGCACAUAGGAACAACAGCCUGUGAAGAUGAAAAUGAAGAUUUCAGAGACACAGCAGAAGCCAAGAAAUGGCAAAAUUGCUAGCAAAGUACCAGAAGUAAGGAGGAAGCUUGGAACAGAUUCUCCCUCAUGACUCACAAAAGGAACCAACUCUCUGAACAUCUUGAUCUCAGACUUUCAGCCUCCAAAAUAGAGAGCAAUAAAUUUCUGUUGUUCUAAGACACCCAGUUUUGAUACUUGGUUAUAGCAAUGGCAGCAAACUAAUACAGGAAUUAUAAAUGACAAUGAGAAAAUAAAUUAACAAUAAAUUUCCUUUCUUUGGGAGAUUGUCAAAAUUGUAGAAUAUAGCUGGCAGCCUGGUAUAAGUGAAAAAUUUAACAGAUCUGGAUUCAAAUCUUAACUUGACUAAACCACAUGAUAGACUAUAAAUGAUUAUCUCCAUCUGUGGAAUUUCAUCUCAAUUCCCAGGAUUUUAAGAGCAGGUAAAAGAAAGAAGAGACACAUGAACUCAGUUUUUGUUUCCUUGGUAUUAUAUGAGAGCUAUAUUUGAAUCCAGAUCUGUUGAUUUUAACUUAUUUUUGUCUGGAUUGAUGUCCUGAGCAUUAUUCCGCAUCUCUAAACCACAAUACCUUUAUUGAAAAAAAUGGGGGAAUGGUAUUUAAUUUAUAUUUUUUUCUGAUGAUUAAAUAAUACUAUUUACUGAUUCAAAAAUUCAUUGUUUAAUCUGCAUUAUUUCACAACCAACCAAUGAGUUACUGUGUUACCUCCAUUUAUGGAAAAAAGUUUGGGCUCAUGUAUCAUUCAUUUAAUCAGAACUCUUUUUGCACAUUGGUUAAUCAUCUAAGGCUAAAGCCACA
rnacentral:lncRNA from 1 species